GAUGAACGCUGGCGGCGUGCCUAAUACAUGCAAGUCGAGCGAACGGACGAGAAGCUUGCUUUUCUGAUGUUAGCGGCGGACGGGUGAGUAACACGUGGAUAACCUACCUAUAAGACUGGGAUAACAUCGGGAAACCGGAGCUAAUACCGGAUAAUAUUUUGAACCGCAUGGUUCAAAAGUGAAAGACGGUCUUGCUGUCACUUAUAGAUGGAUCCGCGCUGCAUUAGCUAGUUGGUAAGGUAACGGCUUACCAAGGCAACGAUGCAUAGCCGACCUGAGAGGGUGAUCGGCCACACUGGAACUGAGACACGGUCCAGACUCCUACGGGAGGCAGCAGUAGGGAAUCUUCCGCAAUGGGCGAAAGCCUGACGGAGCAACGCCGCGUGAGUGAUGAAGGUCUUCGGAUCGUAAAACUCUGUUAUUAGGGAAGAACAUAUGUGUAAGUAACUGUGCACAUCUUGACGGUACCUAAUCAGAAAGCCACGGCUAACUACGUG
rnacentral:rRNA from 1 species